GCCUUUCCCCCUCCCCGGAUCCUCCUCUUUCUUAGACCCUGUGGUUUUGCUCUGAAACGUAGUCGCAACCAAAGAGGGUCCGUUCGGAUUUGCAUUUAUGACUUUUUAAUUUACCGAAAUUUGGGAGCUACUACCAAAGAUUGCAAGAGCUGCCAGGACUCCUGAAACUGCUAGAAAGAGCCAUGAAAUCUGUGAUUUUCUCACAGGAGGCCAAGCGAUAUGAGACACAUUAAUUCUACAUGUGUCGUUGACAAUGUGUGUGCCUCCCUCUCUGUGAGGAAGGGGCUAAGAGAAUCUAAGGUGAGCACUUUGGCUGCUUUCUACAGCAUGAUAGCAUGAAGACAAAUGUUUACAAAUCCCUGGUACCCCUUGGUGGUAUCACUGCAUUGUCACACAGUAAAGGAAUGUUUAAACACGAAUAAAUCAUGCUUUCCCUGAA